CAGUCGAACGGACUUACAUUGAAGCCUAGCGAUAUGUAAGUUAGUGGCGGACGUGUGAGUAACGCGUGGGUAACCUGCCUUGUACUGGGGGACAACAGUUGGAAACGACUGCUAAUACCGCAUAAGCGCACAGCUUCGCAUGAAGCAGUGUGAAAAACUCCGGUGGUACAAGAUGGACCCGCGUCUGAUUAGCUGGUUGGUGAGGUAACGGCCCACCAAGGCGACGAUCAGUAGCCGGCCUGAGAGGGUGAACGGCCACAUUGGGACUGAGACACGGCCCAAACUCCUACGGGAGGCAGCAGUGGGGAAUAUUGCACAAUGGGGGAAACCCUGAUGCAGCAACGCCGCGUGAGUGAAGAAGUAUUUCGGUAUGUAAAGCUCUAUCAGCAGGGAAGAUAAUGACGGUACCUGACUAAGAAGCACCGGCUAAAUACGUGCCAGCAGCCGCGGUAAUACGUAUGGUGCAAGCGUUAUCCGGAUUUACUGGGUGUAAAGGGAGCGCAGGCGGUGCGGCAAGUCUGAUGUGAAAGCCCGGGGCUCAACCCCGGUACUGCAUUGGAAACUGUCGUACUAGAGUGUCGGAGGGGUAAGCGGAAUUCCUAGUGUAGCGGUGAAAUGCGUAGAUAUUAGGAGGAACACCAGUGGCGAAGGCGGCUUACUGGACGAUAACUGACGCUGAGGCUCGAAAGCGUGNGGAGCAAACAGGAU
rnacentral:rRNA from 1 species